rnacentral:rRNA from 1 species
GACGAACGCUGGCGGCGUGCUUAACACAUGCAAGUCGAACGAAGAGCGAUGGAAGCUUGCUUCUAUCAAUCUUAGUGGCGAACGGGUGAGUAACGCGUAAUCAACCUGCCCUUCAGAGGGGGACAACAGUUGGAAACGACUGCUAAUACCGCAUACGAUCUAACCUCGGCAUCGAGGAUGGAUGAAAGGUGGCCUCUAUUUAUAAGCUAUCACUGAAGGAGGGGAUUGCGUCUGAUUAGCUAGUUGGAGGGGUAACGGCCCACCAAGGCGAUGAUCAGUAGCCGGUCUGAGAGGAUGAACGGCCACAUUGGGACUGAGACACGGCCCAGACUCCUACGGGAGGCAGCAGUGGGGAAUCUUCCGCAAUGGACGAAAGUCUGACGGAGCAACGCCGCGUGAGUGAUGACGGCCUUCGGGUUGUAAAGCUCUGUUAAUCGGGACGAAAGGCCUUCUUGCGAAUAGUUAGAAGGAUUGACGGUACCGGAAUAGA